GCCAGCGUGGGGUAGUGGUUUUAGUGUUAGACUACAACUCUGGAGACCAGGGUUUGAUUCCCACUCAGCCA